rnacentral:rRNA from 1 species
AUACGGAGGGUGCGAGCGUUGUUCGGGGAUUAUUGGGCGUAAAGCGCGUGUAGGCGGUUUGUUAAGUCUGAUGUGAAAGCCCUGGGCUCAACCCAGGAAGUGCAUUGGAUACUGGCAGACUUGAAUACGGGAGAGGGCAGUGGAAUUCCUGGUGUAGGAGUGAAAUCCGUAGAUAUCAGGAGGAACACCGGUGGCGAAGGCGGCUGCCUGGACCGAUAUUGACGCUGAGACGCGAAAGCGUGGGUAGC